rnacentral:rRNA from 1 species
UACGUAGGGCGCAAGCGUUGUCCGGAAUUAUUGGGCGUAAAGAGCUCGUAGGCGGCUUGUCACGUCGGUUGUGAAAGCCCGGGGCUUAACCCCGGGUCUGCAGUCGAUACGGGCAGGCUAGAGUUCGGUAGGGGAGACUGGAAUUCCUGGUGUAGCGGUGAAAUGCGCAGAUAUCAGGAGGAACACCGGUGGCGAAGGCGGGUCUCUGGGCCGAUACUGACGCUGAGGAGCGAAAGCGUGGGGAGCGAACAGG